CAACAGAAGGUGAGCAGAAGAGGGCGUGCCACACCUGGGACACACGACAGCUGGUGUGCCGGCUUCUUGUGCUCUUCCUUCUUCCUGAAGCCCCGAACGCGGACGUGCAGAGACUCAUCCUUGACCUUCCAUACAAUGACAAUGCCGGAAGAGAGGACAGAACGGGGCCCUCCUGCAGCCAGUCUCGUGAGAGCUGGGGAGCCCAGGCCAGUGGUUUGAGGGCCAUCACCCCAAAGAGGCCCACAGCCUCUCACAGAGGCAACCAACAAACUAAUUCUAAAGUUUACAUGGAAAGGCAAAAGAUCCAGAAUAGACGACACAGUAUCCAAGGAGAAGAGCAAAGUUGGAAGACUGACACUACCUGACUUCAACACUUACUGUAAAGCUACAGUAAUCAGGACAGUGUGGUACUGGUGAAAGAAGAGACAAAUGGAUCGAUGGAACAGAGUAAGGAGCCCAGAAACAGACCCACAUAAAUAUAGUCAAACGGAUCUUUGACAAAGGAGCAAAGGCAAUACAACAGCGCAAAGAUAAUCUCUUCCACAAAUGGUGCUGGAGCAUCUGGACUUCCACCUUAAAAAAAUGAAUCUAGAUACAAACUUUAUACACUUCACAAAAAUAACUCAAAGUGGAUCACAGACCUAAAUGUAAAAUACAAAACUAUAAAACUCCUAGAAGAUAACAUAGGAGAAACUCUAAAUGGCCUUGGGUUUGGUGAUGACAUUUUAGAUAUAGCACCAAAGGGACAACUCAGAAAUAAUUGAUAAGCUGGACUUCAUUAAAAUUAAAAUUUUCUGUUCUCUGAAAAACAUUGUCCAGAAAGUGAGAAGACAAGCUACGGACUAGGAGAAAAUAUUUGCAAAAGACACAUGUGAUAAAGGACUGUUAUCCAAAAUAUACGAAGAAGUCUUAAAACUCAACAAGAAGAAGACAACCUGGUUAAAAAAUAGGCCAAAGACCUUAACAGACACCUCACCAUGGAAGAUACACAGAUGGCACAUAUGUACAUGAAAAGAUGCUUGAAAUCAUUUGUCAUCAGGGAAAUGCAAAUUAAAACAACAACGAGAUACUACUAUACACCUGUUAGAAUGGCCCAAAUC
rnacentral:lncRNA from 1 species